rnacentral:rRNA from 1 species
CGCAACCCUUGUCCUUAGUUACCAGCACGUUAUGGUGGGCACUCGUAAGGAGACUGCCGGUGACAAACCGGAGGAAGUGGGGAUGACGUCAAGUCAUCAUGGCCCUUACGGCCUGGGCUACACACGUGCUACAAUGGUCGGUACAAAGGGUUGCCAAGCCGCGAGGUGGAGCUAAUCCCAUAAAACCGAUCGUAGUCCGGAUCGCAGUCUGCAACUCGACUGCGUGAAGUCGGAAUCGCUAGUAAUCGUGAAUCAGAAUGUCACGGUGAAUACGUUCCCGGGCCUU